rnacentral:tRNA from 3 species
GCGGGCGUGGCGGAACUGGUAGACGCGCUGGAUUUAGGUUCCAGUGGAGCAAUCCGUGGGGGUUCGAGUCCCUUCGCCCGUA